GGUUAUCUUUCGAAUUAUCCUUAAUAAGAUAAUUCAUUCAACUACUCAAAUAUAUGUAUAUAUAUAUAGAGAGAGAGGGAGGGAGAGAGAGAGAAAUAAAUAAAUGGAGUUAAAUGCAGGCAUUAUUCAAAUCCUUUUACUUCUGACAUAUGUUUCGAAGAAAACAUUGGUAUUAUUCCAGAAGGAAUAAAAUGGUGCAAAACAAUGCAAUCUUUUCCUCAGGGAAUAUGAUUUGAAUAACACCUGCGUUUAACUCCAUAUAUUUAUUUAUCUAUAAAAUACAAAAACAUUUCACCUAAACCUGGAGUUUCUACCUUUAUAGGUAGGCUGUUACAUUCUUGGUACUUGUGUGAAUUUUUGCUUCCCUGGUAAUUAUUUAUUUAUUUUUUCCAUGUUAAUUGUAAACAUUGAAAAAACACACAUACAUUUAAAUCCAGAAAAAAAUGUGUAUAUACAUAUAUAUAUAUAUAUAUAUAUAUAUAUAUAUAUAUAUUUGAAAAAGUAAAAGAAUGACUUUACUUGUAGUUCAAAUCAAUUUAAAUUUCUAAUAAUUUCUCACAUUUGUCGCUGUCUCAAUUAAUCCUUUCAACCUGGAAUUUUUUCUCAAGAUUUACAUGCAUUUUCUCUAAAAUUUUGGUAAAACUAUAUUGCGCAGAUGCUUAGUAUAUGGCUUAUGAUGGUGCCAAUUAUGUAGACACUAUUUUUAGUCUGGUACAUAUUUAUACCAUUUGAGUUUUCUUAUCUACCAUGUAUGUACCACUGUAUUUAAAUGAAGUACCAUGUAUGUAUCAGUUGUAUCAAAAUACCGCAGUGAACCUUGCAAAACAAAAAUGAAAAUUUCAAUUAUUAGGGAGUAAUAUGAUGGUUCAUUGAAAAACUGUAUAUGCACUUUUGAUUAACAACAAAAAGAAGUUUCUCUAUAAAACAGUUUUAUGACAACUGGUACAGUCUUAGCAAUACAAUAAACUACAAUGGUACAAGUGUGUACCUAUACAAAACCACAAUAAUGCAGGUGUGUACCACUCAAAACUAUUUACUCUUAGAAAUAUGUUAUGCAACAUCGUUGCAAGAAUAUUACUCUCCAAUGCUUAUAAACUAUGCACAAUAUGUUUAUGAUUAAGUAAAUACGUUUACAGUGAAGAAGAUGUUAUAAAUGACUUACUAAAGUAUGAGAACCAAUUAUAAACACUUAAAAGCAGUUUGUAAAUGUGGACCUUUUGAGCUGUCAUUAUAGUGUCUUACAUUAUGAUCAUGUCUGGUGCUAAAUAACUACCAGAAAAACCAGAGUGGUACUAUAUAAGAUGGGAAUUUUAAAGAUUUGGGUUGUAAAAUUUUUGACUAGUACAAAUAUGUACCAACCAGGCUGAAAGGGUUAACAUAUCCAUCUGAGCUGUUUUAUAUUAACUACUUUUUAUUAUUAACUUUAUUUUACUGUUCAGAGUGUUUAAUACUAAAAUUCAUUUACCAUACAUAAUUACAUUACAUAUUUUUGUCAGUUUUCUAUUUUCCUCAAAUAAAGUAUGUUCUUCAUU